rnacentral:tRNA from 1 species
GGGGUGUGGCCAAGUGGUUUAAGGCUCAGGACUCUGACUCCUGGAUCCCCGGUUCGAAUCCGGGCACCCCUG